GGGACGGUGGUGGAACUGGUAGACACGAAUGUUUGCUUCCUCUGGGAAGCUUUGCUUUAGCACCCCCUUGCCCGUUUUCCAGGCCGACCGCGAAGGCUUAUAGGGAACAUUGUCCUGCGGGUUCAAAUCCUGCCCGUCCCC
rnacentral:tRNA from 1 species